GGAUAACAGUUGGAAACGACUGCUAAUACCGCAUACGCCCUACGGGGGAAAGGAGGGGACCUUCGGGCCUUCCGCGAAUGGAUAAGCCCAGGUGGGAUUAGCUAGUAGGUGGGGUAAUGGCUCACCUAGGCGACGAUCCCUAGCUGUUCUGAGAGGAUGAUCAGCCACACUGGGACUGAGACACGGCCCAGACUCCUACGGGAGGCAGCAGUGGGGAAUAUUGCACAAUGGGCGAAAGCUUGAUGCAGCCAUGCCGUGUUGGUGAAGAAGGCCUUCGGGUUGUAAAGCACUUUCAGCGAGGAGGAAAGGUUACUGGCUAAUAUCCAGUAGCUGUGA
rnacentral:rRNA from 1 species